GAGGGAGGAGGCAGGGACAGAUCCCCCGAAGCAAAAUCAUUGUGCUACUGACAGAAAAAGGGCAAUGGCUAUGGAGAGGCAAGCCGCAGGUCUCAAUGGAGCAUGAAAUAGGCUUGUUGACUGGUUCAAUGGUAGAAACAGAGAGUUGUGUGUGAGGCGAGAAGUGGUUCAGCAUCAUUCCUGCCCAAGAUAACAUGAGCAGCUGAAGCAGACGCAUGGACUCUGAUCUUACCAGCUGGUACAUCACAAGAACUAAAGCAGCUUUGGAGCGAGAGAUGGCAUCUGUGCAAGGACAAUGGCAGAGUCUCCCUAAAAGCUCUGGAUCACUGAUCUGCAGACAAAUAAACUAUUUUGUAAGAGCCACUGUCGCUGGAGGGUGUUCUGUCACAGUAGCCUAGCCUGGAUCCUACUACUGAAAUGAACAGUGGCAACAGAUCCCUAUGGGUCUCUGAUUUCACCUGGAUUCUGCACCCUUUCCUAGUGUCUUAGGAAGGCUUGGAGGAUCCUGUCCUCACAGUGAAUAAGGCUGUUGCUGAGAUCUAAGU